CAGUCACGGGAGGCCUGGCAGACCACCCACCGCGAUCAUCUGGCUUUGUUCUUACAGAAGCCAGGUUGAAGCUACCCCAUACCCAAGUAGCCCCAUCCAAUGGGAAAUUCCAAAUCAAGGCCUCCAAAGAGGGAUUUCUGUGUUUAGCUGUUUACCCACCCAUUCGGCGAGUAGCAGACCCUGACUGUGCUAGACACUGGAAGAAUGGCCGAUGGAGGAAGAGGACUUACGCCAAAGUCGAGCAGUAAAGGAAAGAGACAAACAUAUAAACGGGAGACUAUUGUAUGAUGUGAAAUGUCUGAGGCUUGGUGUAAUUGCUUCAUUUUGGUAACUCUUCUCAUUCAAGAAAUGAGUAUAAAUUCCAGAGACUCCAAACCUUGAAUUCAACUGAAACCAACCCCCAAGUAAAGGAGAAGAUGCUCAGGAUGGCUGGAGUUUGAACCUAGUCAACUGGUAGGUGAGUGUGUGUGUUUGUGAUAGAGGAAAAUCUGGGUUUUGUUUGAAUUCCCAAGACUGCCCUAGAUGAGGAAGAAACUAAUACAGACUCUUCCUAAUCUGAAGUGCCUCUAAGAAUAUUUGUGUACCAGUUGAGUAUCCGUCAUCCAAAAUGCUUGGGACCAGGAGUGUUUCUCCGAUUUUGGAAUAUUCGCAUUAUACUUACCAGUGGAGCACUUCUAAUCCAAAAAUCCUGAAUCCGAAAUGCUCCAGUGAGCAUUUCUUUUGAGCAUUGUGUCAGCAGUCAAAAAGUUUCUAAUUUUGGACCAUUUUGGAUUUCAAAUUAGGGAUGUUUAACCUGUACUAAGAGUACCGAACUACUGUACUGAGUUGCCUUAAGGCUCC
rnacentral:lncRNA from 1 species